rnacentral:rRNA from 1 species
UUAUGGCUCAGAUGAACGCUGGCGGCAGGCCUAACACAUGCAAGUCGAACGGUAACAGGAAGAAGCUUGCUCUUGCUGACGAGUGGCGGACGGGUGAGUAAUGUCUGGGAAACUGCCUGAUGGAGGGGGGAUAACUACUGGAAACGGUAGCUAAUACCGCAUAACGUCGCAAGACCAAAGAGGGGGACCUUCGGGCCUCUUGCCAUCGGAUGUGCCCAGAUGGGAUUAGCUUGUUGGUGGGUAACGGCUCACCAAGGCGACGAUCCCUAGCUGGUCUGAGAGGAUGACCAGCCACACUGGAACUGAGACACGGUCCAGACUCCUACGGGAGGCAGCAGUGGGGAAUAUUGCACAAUGGGCGCAAGCCUGAUGCAGCCAUGCCGCGUGUAUGAAGAAGGCCUUCGGGUUGUAAAGUACUUUCAGCGGGGAGGAAGGGAGUAAAGUUAAUACCUUUGCUCAUUGACGUUACCCGCAGAAGAAGCACCGGCUAACUCCGUGCCAGCCGCAGC